rnacentral:rRNA from 1 species
AACGAACGCUGGCGGCAUGCCUGAUACAUGCAAGUCGAACGAGAUCUUCGGAUCUAGUGGCGCACGGGUGCGUAACGCGUGGGAAUCUGCCCUUGGGUUCGGAAUAACUUCUGGAAACGGAAGCUAAUACCGGAUGAUGACGUAAGUCCAAAGAUUUAUCGCCCAAGGAUGAGCCCGCGUAGGAUUAGCUAGUUGGUGGGGUAAAGGCCCACCAAGGCGACGAUCCUUAGCUGGUCUGAGAGGAUGAUCAGCCACACUGGGACUGAGACACGGCCCAGACUCCUACGGGAGGCAGCAGUAGGGAAUAUUGGACAAUGGGGGAAACCCUGAUCCAGCAAUGCCGCGUGAGUGAUGAAGGCCUUAGGGUUGUAAAGCUCUUUUACCCGGGAUGAUAAUGACAGUACCGGGAGAAUAAGCUCCGGCUAACUCCGUG